rnacentral:rRNA from 1 species
UACGUAGGCAGCGAGCGUUGUUCGGAUUUACUGGGCGUAAAGCGUGCGUAGGCGGUUUUGUAAGUUUGGUGUGAAAUCUCCCGGCUCAACUGGGAGGGUGCGCCGAAAACUGCAAGGCUGGAGUAUGGGAGAGGUAGGCGGAAUUCCUGGUGUAGCGGUGAAAUGCGUAGAUAUCAGGAGGAACACCUGUGGUGUAGACGGCUUACUGGACCAUGACUGACGCUGAGGCGCGAAAGCGUGGGGAGCAAACAGG